rnacentral:snRNA from 1 species
UAUCCCUCUUUGUGGUACAUA